rnacentral:pre_miRNA from 1 species
UAUUAAAAUUCUAUCCAUUUGCAUGGUUAAAAAAUGACGUGGUUGACGGAACAUUUAGACAAUAACACAUGACGUCUCACAUGUAUCUCAUGCCAACGUACAAUAACUAAUUUUUAAUAAUAAAAAUUAAUGAUAUUUUUAACG